UCCAACCUUGUGGGCAGGAC
rnacentral:piRNA from 1 species